GAGAACAAAGUGAGCAUUCAGCUUCCCUAUCCUUUUGAGAUGUUGCCAAGAAGGCUGCCUCUUACCUCACCCAGAACACUGAGGGAAUCUGCACAACUAUAUCAGCUAAUCUGUCUGUGGCCUGUUGGGCCAGCUGACCAGCAUGUGGAGACCCCAGUAGCCAGACAACCCAUGGACUUUGACAGCUGGUGUUCCACAUACCACCACAGUUGGAACCAGUACAUUUCCAGAGUGGGCAUGCAGACCUCAACAUCCAGCAAAGACCUCAGCAGAUGACUCAAUUUUGCAGGAUUGAAAGAAGUUCUGAUUCCUGUUCAAGAUAGCCGACUAGCAACAUAAGAUACCCGCCCUCUCCAGGAAGCAAAAUCAAAAUUAUGAACACAUAAUCAACUUCAAAUAGAACAUCUAGGACUAAUACUGGAGUCCAACAGAGAAAUCAUGGGAAGCACCUGAAGCGAGAAGAAGAAGGAAA
rnacentral:lncRNA from 1 species